CCCUAGUAGCGGCGAGCGAACCGGGAUGAGUCCAGCGCCGAAUCCGGGUGCGCCUGCGCGCGUGCCUGGAAAUGUGGCGUAUGGGAGGCUGCGUGCCGCCGGCGAAGUCCUUGGAGCAAGUCCCCUUGAUUGGGGCGAGCGUAAUGCGACCAAAGCGGGUGCGAGUCCCGUAGCCCUUGGUAACUGUCGGCGGAGUGCGGUCUCUCGUGAGUCGGGUUGCUUGAGAGUGCAGCCCUAAGAAAGGUGGUAAACUCCAUCUAAGACUAAAUACGACCUCGAGACCGAUAGCGAACAAGUACCGUGAGGGAAAGUUGCAAAGAACUUUGAAGAGAGAGUUCAAGAGUACGUGAAACUGUUCAGAGGAAAACGGGUGGGCGUUCGAACCCCCCCUCGGCGGUUACCCGGAUUCAGUCCGUCGCCUUUGCCGGAGAGUUAUCGUUCGUCCGUUGCCGUAUCGGUGGCCGAUUUCGGGCCCGAUAUUUGUGUGUUUGCGACGGCGGUUCGGUUUUCUUGCGGCGAUCCGCGGCGGACGCAUUUCCGUGGUUCCGCCCGAGUACAGGGCGCUGCGACCGAUCGGGCAAGCAAAGAGUGCCGGCCGUGGGCCGAGUAUGCGGUUAGGAGCGCUGUUCGCGAGUGCGGGUUCGCGCCCGCGCGAGCGUCAGUGUGCUCCUCCGGCUCGGCGUUAACUGCGGUCGGUCGCCCGAUCGGUGUGUGCAGAAGUGCAGUGGUGUGCGGUGCUCUCGUGAAAACCGAGUCGAACCGAGGCGUCGUAGAAAGUAACGUGGUUCCGCCGGUUAGCAGUGUGCGCGUCUCCGGACGCGCCACCGAUUGAUUUCAAAAAAAAGCUUUCCGGGCAGUGUGUAUGAACCUCGCGCCUCGGUUUUUUUAAGGCUCGGUGAGUNNNNNNNNNNNNNNNNNNNNNNNNNNNNNNNNNNNNNNNNNNNNNNNNNNNNNNNNNNNNNNNNNNNNNNNNNNGACCAAGGAGUCUAACCCGUAUGCGAGUCGUAGGGUCUUGCGUAGGCCCCGUGGCGUAGCGAAAGCAAAGUCGAGACAUUGGUUUUCAUUUUCUGCCUUUAGCAUCGGCGGCCCGGCGGUGCGGCCGGCUGGCACGGCCCGUUCGGGUCAAACCGAACGGCGAGUCGUGCCCGGCUCGUCGGAGUCUGAGCAUACGAGUUGGUACCCGAAAGAUGGUGAACUAUGCCCCGCCAGGGCGAAGUCGGAGGAAACUCCGGUGGAGGCCCGAAGCGGUUCUGACGUGCAAAUCGAUCGUCGGAGCGAGGUAUAGGGGCGAAAGACUAAUCGAACCAUCUAGUAGCUGGUUCCCUCCGAAGUUUCCCUCAGGAUAGCUGGCAUUCGUGAAACUCAGUCUCUCCUCGUAGAGAGAAUGAAUAGAGGCCCUGGGGCCCUAGACGACCUCAACCUAUUAUCAAACUGCUACGAGGUGCGUCUGUAGGUUGUUGGACUUGCUGACUUGAAGUCUACCUACGCUAUGGGAUGUGUGAGUGCCGUGUGGGCCACUUUUG
rnacentral:rRNA from 1 species